rnacentral:misc_RNA from 1 species
GAUGAAGAACGCAGCGAAAUGCGAUAAGUAGUGUGAAUUGCAGAAUUCAGUGAAUCAUCGAAUCUUUGAACGCACAUUGCACCUCUCGGUAUUCCGGGAGGUAUGCCUGUCCGAGCGUCAUUUGUACCCUCAAGCUCUGCUUGGUGUUGGGUGUUUGUUCCGCCUCUGUGUGUGAACUCGCCUCAAAACAAUUGGCAGCCGGCGUACUUGUUUCGGAGCGCAGCACAUUUUGCGAUCCAGAUCAACGUACAGCGGCAUCCAAGAAGCCUUAUUUAACGCUCUUGACCUCGGAUCAGGUAGGGAUACCCGCUGAACUUAAGCAUAUCAAUAAGCGGAGGA